UGAGUAACCUGCCCUUAACUCUGGGAUAAGCCUGGGAAACUGGGUCUAAUACCGGAUAUGACUCCUCAUCGCAUGGUGGGGGGUGGAAAGCUUUAUUGUGGUUUUGGAUGGACUCGCGGCCUAUCAGCUUC
rnacentral:rRNA from 1 species